rnacentral:rRNA from 1 species
AUACGGAGGGUGCAAGCGUUAUUCGGAAUCACUGGGCGUAAAGGGUGCGUAGGCGGUUUGAUAAGUCUGAUGUGAAAUCCUAUGGCUCAACCAUAGAACUGCAUUGGAAACUGUCAGACUAGAAUACUGAAGGGGCAGAUGGAAUUAGUGGUGUAGGGGUAAAAUCCGUAGAUAUCACUAGGAAUACCGAAAGCGAAAGCGAUCUGCUGGGAAGUUAUUGACGCUGCGGCACGAAAGCGUGGGGAGCAAACGGGAUUAGAAACCCUAGUAGUCC